AAACAUUUUCUGAACAAAAUGCUAAGUAUUACUGUGCUGACGCUCUUGGCAGGUACGCUCGGUUUUCCAACAUACAUCACCCAACCCGGAGCUACGACAACCCCGCAAUUUCCGGUGUCCCCCGACGUGAUAUUGCUGCAAUAUUGCUAAAAGCGGCGUAAAACCAUACUCACUCACUCACUCCGUACAUACUUGCUAUCAUCAUCACUUCCUUCAACACAGUCGACGCGGACAACAACGGACAGCUUGACGUUUCCGAGUUCUACAAAGUCUUUGAUUAAUACGAUACUGACCGUGAGUGAAGGUCUUAACCAUAUAAACUUUUUUUAUACCUAUUAUAUACCAUUUAUCCUUCACAACGUGCAUCACGCAUAUUGAAAAAUAUAGACAUGUUUGGCAUUACAGGGAUAUUGUUAUAAUGGUGAAUAUGUAGACAAACUGAAAACAACUUUUCUGUUCUGAACUUUCUCGAGGACGGAAUGCCACGGAUACAGCUGACUAACGUGAGAGAUCCGAUUGCCCAUUGAAGCCAUGCAUUACAGAAAUGUCCUGUGUGAAAUAUUUUGCUGAGGUUGAGUUCAAAAGUCCUUAAUAUAAGCAUGGCAGUGCUGGAGAUAUAUUCGUUAUUGACAUAACCAAGUCCAAUAGCUUUGUUGUUUUUGAGCCAUAGCUGUGGCUAUUUCCGAUGAGGUUAUACGUUGAUUCAGAGUGCUAUAUCUGGAGUUUAGAUCAAUAGCUUUGUUGUUUUUGAGUCAUAGCAGUAGCUAUUUCCGAUGAGGUUAUACGUUAAUUCAGAGUUGUAUAUCUGGAGUUUAGAUUAAUGUUGAUACCAUUUUUAUCUGGCUAAUUUUCUUUGUCUUCAUUCUUCCAAAUUAAAAGAGUUCUUGUGAAGGCGAUCCCAUUUAACUGGAGCAGUUUCAUGUGUUCAGCUCGCAUUGAUUACCCCAUUUAACUCUGAGCAGUUUUUAUCUUGUUAUAUCUGCCUUCAUAAUAUUUACCGUUUUCAGUUUUACAACCUUUACCAAAUCAUGGUUUGAUUGUCUUCACAUUUAUUAAGAAUGUUGGUGGUAGCUAUAUUCAGGGUUAGUGAGAUUGCACAGUGAGCGUCUGAGAAUAUAAAGAGUCGAAUAUCAUAUGUCAUAUAUAUAUCAUCAUAUGUUGAGAUGGAGUAGUUUGCCACACGAGUACCCUUGUAAUAUUUUCCUCUUCCAGUUGUACAAUGUUUACCAAACCAUAUCCUGUUUGUCUUCACAUGCUUUAUAUUUGCCUUUUUCCUUAUACUAUAUAUACGAAAUGUUUUCCCGGCAACUGUGAGAAAAGUAUCACUCAGUUUGUCCACAAUAUAAUUUAGGUAAUUAAGUUCUUCCAAAUGUUGAUUCAUUGAGUUAAUGUCAUUUAUGUUUAUAGAGGCACCGCAUUCAUUUUAAAGUUGUUUGUUCCGUUUUCUAAAUGCCACUGUUUAUUUUUUAGUAACACUAUUUCGGUAGAUAAGUGAGAUUGCACAGUGAGCAUCUGAGGAUAAAGAGUCAAAUUCAAACACCUGGAGGUUGGAUAUGUAGGGAAUAGCAUGGUAUGGGGUAGUCCAUCACACUAGUACCCUUGCAUGUCACUUGAUCUAUACAAUUCUUCUGUCCAAAUCUACCAUUGUGGAUAGACAUACUUUUGUUUUUGUAAAUGACUUAACAUUUAUUUCCACGGUUCUCAACACGUCCUUCAUCUUAAGAUAAUCGUUCCUGUAAUAAUCCAUACUCAAUACGUUGUUGCUGUUUAAAUACUUUGUGCCUGAUUCAUCAGUGUUUAUUAUGUCUGGUUCUUGCUUCACAAUCACGAAUUCGAGAUGGGCUGAGACGUCCAAGGCGUAAAACUCGGAAACACUAUCUCCUAUUCUAUCUUCAGCUUUUCUUUUAUGAAUCUUCUAACCUUUUCAAUCCUAGAUUAAAACACAAACCUUAAAUGUGAACCACUAACGCCACAGAGUAUACGCUGAGUAUAUUCUUCCCUCCCACGUGUUUACUGCCUGUGUUUGUUGCAUAUGGAUGAUCAUAAAAUUACCAUCAACGGAGUUUUUCAAGUACGUUGACUAUGACCACGAGAACGUCCUUGCCCGGGGAGGGACGAACAUGAUCUACAGGAUCUUCUACAUCAACGCCAUCGGAUAUCAACUCUAUGCUUCGCCGACAACGUAUACCAGAAAAAGGUGGACGGAAGUUACCUCACUACACGGGCUGAAUGCAGCAAACGUUUCUCAUUGGUUGAACUAUUUAUAGAAGCACGAAGCAUGGCCCCAUCUUGUAAACAUGUUCGUAUAUACAGCUGCUCAUCAUUUAGCCCUAAACAUCAUUGUCAGUGGUCACAAUCUUGCUCUGAUUGGUCAAGCAGGGACAGGGAAAACGACCCUCAUAAAACAUGUUUCCUACUUACUGUCAGCAAAAGACCCGUGAAGAUUCCGG
rnacentral:lncRNA from 1 species